AGUGAACGCUGGCGGUAGGCCUAACACAUGCAAGUCGAACGGCAGCACAGUAAGAGCUUGCUCUUACGGGUGGCGAGUGGCGGACGGGUGAGGAAUACAUCGGAAUCUACUUUUUCGUGGGGGAUCACGUAGGGAAACUUACGCUAAUACCGCAUACGACCUACGGGUGAAAGCAGUGGAUCUUCUGACCUUGCGCGAUUGAAUGAGCCGAUGUCGGAUUAGCUAGUUGGCGGGGUAAAGGCCCACCAAGGCGACGAUCCGUAGCUGGUCUGAGAGGAUGAUCAGCCACACUGGAACUGAGACACGGUCCAGACGCCUACGGGAGGCAGCAGUGGGGAAUAUUGGACAAUGGGCGCAAGCCUGAUCCAGCCAUACCGCGUGGGUGAAGAAGGCCUUCGGGUUGUAAAGCCCUUUUGUUGGGAAAGAAAAGCAGCAGGUUAAUACCCCGCUGUUCUGACGGUACCCAAAGAAUAAGCACCGGCUAACUUCGUG
rnacentral:rRNA from 1 species